UUGAGCCUAAGUGAGGACUUAGAAGCGAAAUUGGUUGGCCGGUUCAGAGCCCGGCGAUUCUGGAUUAGACGGAAAGACCCCGAGAGCUUGCAUUGUAGGUUUAUCUGGGGCGGAGGCGAGUGUUUCACUCGUUUUGAGAUCCUGUGGGAUAAAAGGAUAAAGUUACCUCGGGGAUAACUAGGUAAGAAGCAAGGAGAGAUCAUAUUGAUUUGCUUGGUUGCCAUCUCGAUGUUGACUUGGGAUAAGCAGGGGGGUGCAGAGGUUCCCCUGGGGGGUCUGUUCGACCAUAGAAUCCUUCAUGAGCU
rnacentral:rRNA from 1 species